rnacentral:rRNA from 1 species
UACAGAGGUCUCAAGCGUUGUUCGGAAUCAUUGGGCGUAAAGGGCGCGUAGGCGGCCGUCCAAGUCGGGUGUGAAAUCCCUCGGCUCAACCGAGGAACUGCACUCGAUACUGGUCGGCUAGAGUCCGGGAGGGGAUGGUGGAAUUCCCAGUGUAGCGGUGAAAUGCGUAGAUAUUGGGAAGAACACCGGUGGCGAAGGCGGCCAUCUGGACCGGAACUGACGCUGAGGCGCGAAAGCCAGGGGAGCGAAUGGG